CAAUUCAAUAAACUUUAUGGUGUUAAAUUAGCGUUUAACUUAAAAGGGAAGUCGGUGUUAAUCCGACGCGGUCCCGCCACUGUGUUGAGGAGUUUUGCUACAUUAUGUCACUGUCAAUAGACGGGAAGGCUGUAGCAAAAUGAGGAUUCUAAGCCAGGAGACCUGCCAUAAAGUGAGGAACUGU
rnacentral:ncRNA from 2 species